rnacentral:rRNA from 1 species
GACGAACGCUGGCGGCGUGCUUAACACAUGCAAGUCGAACGGAAAGGCCCUGCUUUUGUGGGGUGCUCGAGUGGCGAACGGGUGAGUAACACGUGAGUAACCUGCCCUUGACUUUGGGAUAACUUCAGGAAACUGGGGCUAAUACCGGAUAGGAGCUCCUGCUGCAUGGUGGGGGUUGGAAAGUUUCGGCGGUUGGGGAUGGACUCGCGGCUUAUCAGCUUGUUGGUGGGGUAGUGGCUUACCAAGGCUUUGACGGGUAGCCGGCCUGAGAGGGUGACCGGCCACAUUGGGACUGAGAUACGGCACAGACUCCUACGGGAGGCAGAAGUGGGGAAUAUUGCACAAUGGGAGGAAGCCUGAUGCAGCAACGCCGCGUGCGGGAUGACGGACUUCGGGUUGUAAACCGCUUUCGCCUGUGAAGAAGAGUGAGUGACGGUAAUGGGUACAGAAGCAACGGCUAACUACGUG